rnacentral:misc_RNA from 1 species
AAGUCGUAACAAGGUUUCCGUAGGUGAACCUGCGGAAGGAUCAUCAAAAAAAUGAAUAAAAGCCGUUCGAUGUCCCUUCUCGGGUGCCGCGGCCAGGCCUCCAUUGGUCUGAACUCUUCUUGAGCAGAGCUCUGAUCACAUUUCGUGCGAUGGUGGUCCACCCCUCUGUGAGGUGACCACCAGCCAUUGAAAAACACAACUUUUGACAACGGAUCUCUUGGCUCUC